AGUGAACGCUGGCGGUAGGCCUAACACAUGCAAGUCGAACGGCAGCACAGUAAGAGCUUGCUCUUACGGGUGGCGAGUGGCGGACGGGUGAGGAAUACAUCGGAAUCUACUUUUUCGUGGGGGAUAACGUAGGGAAACUUACGCUAAUACCGCAUACGACCUACGGGUGAAAGCAGGGGAUCUUCGGACCUUGCGCGAUUGAAUGAGCCGAUGUCGGAUUAGCUAGUUGGCGGGGUAAAGGCCCACCAAGGCGUCGAUCCGUAGCUGGUCUGAGAGGAUGAUCAGCCAGACUGGAAGUGAGACACGGUCCAGACUCCUACGGGAGGCAGCAGUGGGGAAUAUUGGACAAGGGGCGCAAGCCUGAUCCAGCCAUACCGCGUGGGUGAAGAAGGCCUUCGGGUUGUAAAGCCCUUUUGUUGGGAAAGAAAAGCAGCAGGUUAAUACCCCGCUGUUCUGACGGUACCCAAAGAAUAAGCACCGGCUAACUUCGUG
rnacentral:rRNA from 1 species